GAUUAACGCUGGCGGCGUGCUUAACACAUGCAAGUCGAACGAUGAAACUUUAAUGAACCCUUCGGGGAGAAUUAAAGCGGAUUAGUGGCGAACGGGUGAGUAACGCGUGAGUAACCUGCCUUACACAAGGGGAUAGCCUUUGGAAACGAAGAAUAAUACCCUAUAAAACCAUAAAAGCACAUGCAAUUAUGGUCAAAGUGAUAGCGGUGUAAGAUGGACUUGCGUCUGAUUAGCUAGUUGGUGAGAUAAAAGCCCACCAAGGCAACGAUCAGUAGCCGGCUUGAGAGAGUGUACGGCCACAUUGGGACGGAGACACGGCCCAGACUCCUACGGGAGGCAGCAGUGGGGAAUUUUGCACAAUGGGGGAAACCCAGAUGCAGCGACGCCGCGUGAUUUAGAAGGCCUUCGGGUUGUAAAAAUCUUUUGUAUAGGAAGAAAAUGACAGUACUAUACGAAUAAGGUCCGGCUAAUUACGUG
rnacentral:rRNA from 1 species